rnacentral:rRNA from 1 species
GAUGAACGCUGGCGGCGUGCCUAAUACAUGCAAGUCGAGCGAAUGGAUUAAGAGCUUGCUCUUAUGAAGUUAGCGGCGGACGGGUGAGUAACACGUGGGUAACCUGCCCAUAAGACUGGGAUAACUACGAGAAACCGGGGCUAAUACCGGAUAACAUUUUGAACCGCAUGGUUCGAACUUGAAAUGCGGCUCCGGCUGUCACUUAUGGAUGGACCGGCGUCGCAUUAGCUAGUUGGUGAGGUAACGGCUCACAAAGGCAACGAUGCGUAGCCGACCUGGGAGGGUGAUCGGCCACACUGGGACUGAGACACGGCCCAGACUCCUACGGGAGGCAGCAGUAGGGAAUCUUCCGCAAUGGACGAAAGUCUGACGGAGCAACGCCGCGUGAGUGAUGAAGGCUUUCGGGUCGUAAAACUCUGUUGUUAGGGAAGAACAAGUGCUAGUUGAAUAAGCUGGCCCCUUGACGGUACCUAACCAGAAAGCCACGGCUAACUACGUGCCAGCAGCCGCCGUAA